GACGAACGCUGGCGGCGUGCUUAACACAUGCAAGUCGAACGGAAAGGCCCUGCUUUUGUGGGGUUCUCGAGUGGCGAACGCGUGAGUAACACGUGAGUAACCUGCCCUUGACUUUGGGGUAACUUCAGGGAACUGGGGCUAAUACCGGGUAGGAUCUCCUGCUGCAUGGUGGGGAUUGGAGAGUUUCGGCGGUUGGGGAUGGAUUCGCGGGUUAUGGGCUUGUUGGUGUAGUAGUGGCGUACCAAGGCUUUGACGGCUAGCCGGCCUGAGAGCGUGACCGGGCACAAUGCGACUGAGAUACGGACCAGUCUCCUACGGGAGGCAGUAGUCGGGAACAUUGCACAAUGGGGGGACGCCUGAGACAGCAGCGUUGCGAGCGGGAUGCCCUGCUUCGGGUUGUAAACCGAUUUCGACUGUGACGAAGCGUGAGUGACGGUAAUGGGUAAAGAAGCACCGGCUAACUACGUG
rnacentral:rRNA from 1 species